GAGGCUCUUCCUGCUGGGAUUCUUCCAUCUGUGGUGCAUCCUGCAUUGGUUGGGGAGAUGGCACUUGCUGUGUCUGGACUUCUGGAGAAGAAGGAGAAGACUCUACUGGGAUUGGAGAUACCGGAGGAGGAGGGGGAGCUGCCACUUUUUGGCGUUUCGUUUCGGCCCUGGUGCUCUUGACACCCUUCCUCUUUGGCUGGCUGGACUGGGUGGCAUCGGCACCUUGAAGUGUGACCUUUGCCGAUGCACUGGUUUGCUGCAAUAACGAACAAGGGUUUGUAAGUAUAAAUAAAGCCGAUAUAAAGAUAGUCAGCGUAAAAGAUAAAGAUUUGACAAAUUGCCUUGAAAGCCCGCGCCAGAGUAGGAGCAGCUACCGUUGGUGAUGUCUGGGUUCUCCUGGUAGUAACUUUCCUGAGGCGCGCACCCCGAUGCACGAUGGAAGCCAGAGUGGGAGCAUUGUGGCC
rnacentral:lncRNA from 1 species